AUUUCACGAGGAUUGGGAGAAAAAGAACAAAAGGCAGUCUAAAAAGGAACAUCCCAUUUCCGUGAUCCGCUCUACCGAAAUUUUGAGAAAGAAUAUGCUUCAGCAGCCGCACACGUUGAUCUUCAGGGCAGAGCGGGGGCUCUCGGCUGGGGACGGGAAGUCCAGACUCACCGUCAGCCUGGUCUCAGCCCCCAGCCCCGUCCCGCAGUCGUCGAGGCCCACGGUCCGUUUUACUCGCGUCCCCCUGGUGGUCCGCCCGUCGCUCCUGCCACGCUCCGGCUUCCUGGUACAGGCCCCCAGCGCCUUCCACCUGGAGCGCCGUGGUUUUCGGCUCGUUAGGAAAUCUCCGUUGCCUUCAGGAUAAGUCCCGUCUCCCUAGAUCCGCUUCGCAAGGGCCUCCGAAUCCUGUCUCCAGCAGGAUCGUCCACCUGCGGCCGCUCCCCACUGCCCCCCCCCCCCUUCCCCGAGCUCCAGCCCACCUGAGUGGCUCUCGGUUCUCCAGGGCGACGGUCCUCCCCAGCUUCGGCAACACGCCCCGGCCUCCUCCUUUCGUAAGAGGUGGCUUCCUUCCUUUCCCUCACCUCCUAACCCCGAGUGAAGGGCCGGUGGCGUCCCUCCCAGCAGGGUGCACCCGUCGCCCUGCGCUGCGCUCGCCUGCUGUGCGCCCGGGGUGCUCCAGCCCACACCAGCUCCUCGGAACCGGGCUGCUGCAUCCCGCUCACCAUUGUUCCCAGCUCCCCAGGACGGUCCUUGGCAGUACUGGUCGGACCCUCUAAGAAUUCAGCGACCGGCGUAGGAAAACAAAAAUUAGAGUCGCCUUAGGUAUCUACCUGACAGAUUUAUCUUAUGUUGCUGUGUUUUUCAGUUUUGAAUGCUCCUCAUUUAAUCAGAAGUUUCUCUAGAAGAAUAACUUUUUUAAAAAAAUGAUAUAAAUUUUGCUUAGACCAUUCUGAUGUUUUUGUCACAAUUAACCAUAAAUCUUUUUUAGCAGCCAUCGUGUGUGUGGUUUGUGAAGUGAAAUUCUGGAACAGUAGCUCCCUGUUUAACGUUAAGGGGCAGAAAUGUUCAUGUUAAGCCCAGGCUCUGAAACUUUAAAACUGAGCUGAAACUAAAUGCCAAAAAAUGAUAGUGGAAGGAAAGAACAUUAUGGUGGACGUUCUGAUCCUUGAUUGUUAUUAUUAAUUUUUAGGACAGCAAUUAUCAAUAUGUUAGGAAAUUGUCCUGAUACUGACUUAAAAAAAUAUCCUGUACUCUUAAUAUUUUUCUUUUGUUUAAGAGGAUGUCAUGGUAACAAAUUGAAAUUAUCAUUUUCCUUGUGCUCCUUCUGAGCUAGCAGUGUUACAUAUGUACAUUUAGAUCUGUAGUAUUUCUAAACACCACCCUGCUACACACUUUCAAUAAAGUUAAACAAGAAUUCUUUGUUGAGAGAUGUAAUAUUUGGAGGGGGGGGUAUAAGGGAAUAAAUCUUAACUACUACAAAUUGUUUCCCUUCAGCCUUACUCUGAAGGAGAUCCUUGUUGGUUUUCUCAUUACUGUACAACUAGCCUGUUGACUCUGUUACACUUUGGUGGAGGGGAGUAUAAUUUAGUAAGAAAUAAAAAUUUUUUUAAAAAGAGAAAAUUUCUUUAGUAAAAUAGGCAAAAAAUUAAUGAGAUCAUAUAAAAGUGAAACCAAGUAAUGUAUUUAAAGUAUUUGGGGCAGGAAAAAAAAGGCAUCAUAAUUAUUUACUGUUCUGUAGAUAAGUAUUCUCUCAGUAUGUAUCAUAUCUAUUUAUAUAAAGGACAAACUGAAUAAUUAUCAUAAAUAAUAAGGGAAAAGUAAACCCCAAAGGGCUUCUCUUAGGUGUGUAGGCUUCGAUAAUUUUGAGUUGAGAAAACAUUUUAGGGACGCCUGGGGUGGCUCAGUGGUUGAGCACCUGCCUUCAGCUCAGGGCAUGAUCCUGGAGUCCCAGGAUCAAGUCCCACAUUGUGCUCCCUGCAGGCAGCCUGCUUCUCCCUCUGCCUAUGGCUCUACCUCUCUCUCUCUCUCUGUGUGUCUCAUGAAUAAAUAAUAAAAUCUAAAAAAAAAAAGGAAAAAGAACACAUUUUAGGCACUGAUUUGGUAAAAGUCCUAUAAGUACACUUUACUGACAUUUUAGCUGUGUUUUUCAAUUUUAACCUUUUUAAAAAUCUUAUUUCCAAACCUUGCGGAGUGUUAAGUGAUUUUUUUAAAUGUUUAUAGUGAAACAUUUUUAAAAAGUAUAGUUCAUUUUAAGAGUAUAUCUACAAUGAAGUACAUUUCAGCCUUAUUUAAGCAUAGCAAACCUGAUUAGGCAACCAUUUGAAAGAAACACACAUUUAAGAUGAGAUGUAAGAUUGCCAUUUGCUACAUUUGUUGGUUUUAACAGAGAUUUCAAGUUAAUUGGGUAUUGAAAAUCAACUACCAGUCUAGUAGAGAUAUGCAGAUAGUGAUGACUAGCACAUAAUAUAGUGCGGAAAGCUUGGGAUUUGGAAUUAAAAGACUCUGGUCCAAAUCAGCUAGUUUAUGCCUUUUGCAAGUUAUGCCUGAGAGUUAGUUUCCACAUUAUAAAUUAGCAACUAUUUCCCAUUUUGACAAGCUCCCACUGCUGAUAUGAGGAUCAAAUGAGGAUAAUGUGUACCACCAACCUUAAAACACUAACCAAACAGUAGUUGCCCUUAUUGUUCUAUACAUUCCACUUCGGACUUGAAAGGAUUUGGUUUUCACAGAAAUGAUGCACACACAAACACACACAAACACACACCCAGUAUGAAAAAAAUAUCUAAGAAGGAAGUAAAAUUACUUUUUCAUAAACUCCAAUUCCCUUAUAGGGAUUGAUGUGUACUUGCGUUUAUUCAUGGGUAAUAGCUGAUAUCAGAAGGAACUGGGGCACUCUAUAUAAAAAAGAAUCAUUGGAGGAUGUUUAAGAGGAUUCUGGUACAAUCUGGAUUUUGUUAUGCUCUACAUAUUAUACAAGAGCCAGGUAAUGUGUGUGUGUGUGUGUGUGUAUGCGCGCGCGUGUGUGUGAGAGAUACUAAUAAAAACGGGUAAAGAAAAAUAAGGUAAAUACUUAAUGAAGUAUACCUUAUUCAGUGUUCACCGUCAAACUUUAAAAGAGGAAGGUGUUCUUCAAUGAUAAUACUCAUUAUUGACCCAUGAUCAAGGAUAAAGUAGCACCAAAAGCCCUUCUAUUAUCCCUGGCUCCUUCACACAAGUCUAAAAUAUUUGGCCAGUGGUUAAUUGCCUUCCCGGUUUUGACUGAGAACGGACUAUGUGCAGAAAGUGACAAUGCACACACGAUGGUUGGUAAAAUAACCACAAGAUACAUUUUAUCUCAAAGAAGCUAAUAUCAAAUUCUGAAAAAGAAAGAAGAAGAAGAAGAAGAAGAAGAAAAAAAAAGCCCUAAUGCAUCUGUGACUGAGCCUCCCUUCUUGAGAGGGAGGGGAAGCUGGGCAGACACUUUCCCACCCACUUAUCUCUGCAACCUUCUAACCACACCAGCAAGCAGAGGAGGGGACUCCUGCCUGAAUACAGUACUCACCCCGGCUGCCAUUCUACUGUUACAGUCCCAUCCUCUUGACUCCUAAAAUUUUCAGUUUUCUAAAGCUGCCCCUUAAAAUAUAAAUCUCCUGUGAGGGGCACAGGUGGCACAGGGCACUUGAAGCUCACACCUAAAUCAUCUUUUACCUGGUCAACAGAGAUCAUUUUUAUCCUGCUGAGAUGAAGAAAGGGAGCAAAGAUAGAAAGGAAGAAAAGAUCAAUGACCCAGUAAGGUGAGACCCAAAAGAGCUUUGACAGUUUUGCCUGGGAACCAUCUCUCUGGCUCCAUUUCUGUGCUGGUGCGGCAUCAUGCCAUGGGAUUCCAGCCUCUGCUCUCAGGCUUCCAGAUUCUGCUCAUCUGCCCCACACAUACUCCUCCUCUGUCAGGGAACUCAGCUGAAUUCAGACUAGCACAUGGUACUAGAAGAAAAAGCAGUCCGAAGAUCAGAAGACUUGAUUUCUUUUUGACUUUGAGUCAUUCAGUCCUUCCAUGGAUGACAAUUUUCCCCAUUCUAUGUAAAAGGAGAGAGUGGAUGACAUUCCUAUUCAGCUCUGGGUUUCUCCCUUUCCCUGCCUGCUAACUGCUCCAACUCUUUUUACUCAAAAGGUGAAACAGCCAGGCAGCCCGGGUGGCUCAGCGGUUUAACACCACCUUCAGCCCACGGCAUGAUCCUGGAGACCCGGGAUCGAGUCCCACGUCUGGCUCCCUGCAUGGAGCCUGCUUCUCCCUCUGCCUGUGUAUCUGCCUCUGUGUGUGUGUGUGUAUCUCACGAAUAAAUAAAUAAAAUCUUAAAAAAAAAAAAAGGUGAAAACCCCAAAUAUCCGUGAACAAAAUGUGAUAUAUACAUCCAAGGAAAUAUUUCUCAGCCAAAAAAGGAGAGAAUCCUGACACAGGCUGUAACAUAGAUGAGCCUUGAAGGCAUUAUGCUUAGUGAAAUAAGCCGUACACAAAGGGAAACAUUAUAUGAUUCCCCUCAUAGGAGGUACUUUGAGGAGUCAAAUUCAGACAAAAUAGAACAGUAAGUAGAAUAGAAGUUCCCAGGCACUGAAGCGGAGAGGGAAUGGGGAGCUAUUGCUUAGUGGGGACAGAUUUAUAGUUUGGGAAGAUGAAAGACUUCUGGAGAGGAAUAGUGGUGAUAGUUGCACAGCAAUGUGGAUAUAAUUAAUGUCGCUGAACUGUACACUUAAAAAUGGUGAAAAUGGUACAUUUCACAUAAUGUAUAUUUUACCACAAAAAUUAUUUUAUUUUUAAGAUUCUAUUUAUCUAUUUGAGAGAGAAAGAACACAAGCCGGGAGGAGGGGCAGACGGAGAGGGAAAAGCAGACUCCCCACUGAGCAGGGAGCCCAAUAAAGGGCUCCAUCCCGGACCCUGGAUCAUGACCUGAGCUGAAGGGAGACGCUUAACCCACUGAGCCACACAGGUGCCCCACCGCAAAAAAAUAUUUUAAACAAAACAGACUUGGAAGCCCACAGUGGGAUCCCUGAUUGAAGACCUGCUUUGUGCCAUCGGCCUAAAGCCUUGCCCCUGACUUUUCCGUGUGGCAGUCUGAAUUUUGACGCAUCCUCAAUCUCUCCCUGCAUGACAGGACCCCCUCCAUGGCCCUGUGCAAGGGGAUGCUCCUACCCCCUCCUUCAUAAGCACUCCUGGACCGCCCCAGCUCUUCUCAAGCAACACUCUGCUUCCAGUGCUCCGCCACCACUUGGGGCUGUCAUCCAAGCCCCGAGCCCUGUGCUCCCACGGUCACGUGGGACACUGCCUACGACCACCCCACUUCCGAAGCACAUCCACGUGUAGCCUACACCCACAGCCUUCAUCCUUCUUUGAUUUUACUACACCUGCUCUUCAACCUCUUGGAGACCCCAUUCCCUCAGCCUCUCCCCCAGCGCGGCUCAGGGUGUCACACAGUUGUGGGCACUGGGCCCGUGACACACUGGCUUACUGUCUGCAACCCCAACUGAGCCCAAAGUGGAGUCUCUCAUGCUUUUCUACAAG
rnacentral:lncRNA from 1 species